GACGAGGGUUCCUAGCGUUGUUCGGAAUCAUUGGGCGUAAAGCGUGUGUAGGCGGCCAUUUAAGUCAGGUGUGAAAGCCCCGGGCUCAACCCGGGAAGUGCAUUUGAUACUGAGUGGCUUGAAUAUGGAAGAGGGCAGUAGAAUUCCUGGUGUAGUGGUGAAAUACGUAGAUAUCAGGAGGAAUUCCGGUGGCGAAGGCGGCUGCCUGGUCCUAUAUUGACGCUGAGACACGAAAGCGUGGGGAGCAAACAGG
rnacentral:rRNA from 1 species